rnacentral:rRNA from 1 species
AUCCCAGUUCGGAUCGCAGGCUGCAACCCGCCUGCGUGAAGUUGGAAUCGCUAGUAAUCGCGGAUCAGCAUGCCGCGGUGAAUACGUUCCCGGGCCUUGUACACACCGCCCGUCACACCAUGAGAGUCGGGAACACCCGAAGUCCGUAGCCUAACCGCAAGGGGGCGCGGCCGAAGGUGGGUUCGAUAAUUGGGGUGAAGUCGUAACAAGGUAAC